AGGGUUUGAUCCUGGCUCAGAGUGAACGCUGGCGGCGUAGAUUAGGCAUGCAAGUCGAGCGAUCCUUGUUGCCAAGAGAGAUUGAAGUCUUCGGAUGGAUGUCUCUUGAGGUGACGCUGGAUAGCGGCAAACGGGUGAGGAACACGUGGGUAACGUACCGUUGUGGCGGGGCAUAGCCUCGAGAAAUCGAGGGUAAUUCCUCAUAAUCCCUUUAGCCUGGAAUGGUUUUAGGGAAAAGAUGGCCUCUACUUGUAAGCUGUCACCAUACGAGCGACCCGCGUCCUAUCAGGUAGUUGGUAGGGUAACGGCCUACCAAGCCUUAGACGGGUAGCUAGCGUAAGAGCGUGUUUAGCCACACCGGGACUGAGACACUGCCCGGACUCCUACGGGAGGCUGCAGUCGAGAAUCUUUCUCAAUGGGCGAAAGCCUGAAGAUGCGACGCCGCGUGGGGGAUGAAGGUUUUCGGAUUGUAAACCCCUUUUAUCGGGGAGGAAGGUUACUGGACUAAUACUCCAAGUAAAUUGACUGUACCCGAUGAAUAAGCCACGGCUAACUCCGUGCCAGCAGCCGCGGUAAUACGGAGGUGGCGAGCGUUACUCGGUAUGACUGGGUGUAAAGGGUCCGCAGGCGGCUUAGUAAGUGAAAGGUGAAAUCCUUCGGCUUAACCGGAGAACUGCCUUUCAAACUGCUUUGCUUGAGGCUGGAAGAGGAGAGCGGAACUGACGGUGUAAAGGUGAAAUUUGUGGAUAUCGUCAGGAACGCCUGUGGAGAAGUCGGCUCUCUGGUCCAGAUCUGACGCUCAGGGACGAAAGCUAGGGGAGCAAACAGGAUUAGAUACCCUGGUAGUCCUAGCUGUAAACGAUGGGCACUAGGUGCUUGUCCUUUAAGGAUGGGCGCCGUAGGUAACCCGCUAAGUGCCCCACCUGGGGACUACGGCCGCAAGGCUAAAACUCAAAGGAAUUGACGGGGGCCCGCACAAGCGGUGGAACACGUGGUUUAAUUCGAUGCUACGCGAGGAACCUUACCAGGGCUUGACAUGCAGGAAGUAGUAUCCCGAAAGGGAGUCCGACCGGUAACCAAUCCGGAACCUGUGCAGGUGCUGCAUGGUUGUCGUCAGCUCGUGCCGUGAGGUGUUCCCUUAAGUGGGAGAACGAGCGCAACCCUCGUUCUUAGUUGCAAUCUUUGAUGUUUCAUUAAAGAGCACUCUAAGAGGACUGCCCGCGUUAAGUGGGAGGAAGGUGGGGACGACGUCAAAUCCGCAUGGCCCUUAUGUCCUGGGCUACACACGUGUUACAAUGCCUAUUACAAUGGGAGGCUAAGUCGCGAGAUGGAGCAAAUCCCUAAAAAAUAGGCCCAGUUCGGAUUGAAGGCUGCAAUUCGCCUUCAUGAAGCUGGAAUCGCUAGUAAUGGCGUAUCAGCUACGACGCCGUGAAUACGUUCCCGGGCCUUGUACACACCGCCCGUCAAGCGCUGAAAGUGGGGGGCGCCCGAAGCCCCGACGUUCGUCGAGGUCACGGUGAACUUCAUGAUUGGCGCUAAGUCGUAACAAGGUA
rnacentral:rRNA from 1 species